AAGGUUUUCUUCCUAUUUACAAAUCACUACUCUUUAUACAAUGAUCUUAUUUAGAAUUUAGAGUGGUUUGUUUUUAUUUCUGUCUAGGAGUGUCUAUGUAGUCAAAGGUCACUCGAGUGCUGGCCAAGUGCUAAACAAAGCACUGAGAGACCAUAAGGAACAACAAUUAGCAACCUUGGUAAGAUCGUUCUAAAGUAGGCCUGAUCUGCCAACUGAAAACCUUUAGGCUUUGCUUAGGCAGUUUAUGCGAGUGCUCACCUAAUAUGAGUGGUGCUUCAGGUGAACAAUUGAUGUAUUUAAUUUUCUCUUGCUAUAGGUUUUUAAUGCAUUUUUAAUGCAACAGUGAUAUUUGGACUAAUUAUGUCAUUUUUUCAAUCUUUUGAAUAAAGCAAAAGCAUGCAUCUAUUUUGUGUUGUGUAUUUCUCUGGUAGAUACUCUUCAGGCUUGAGCAGGCCUAUAUUAAAGAAAAAGAACAUUUUGUUUGUCCCAGUCCUAGUAUACUUUGAGCCUCCCUUCUUUCCUCAAACAGGGUUCCUUCUCUGCCUCCUUGACGUCAUCUUUGUCUUAGUAUUUUUCUGCUAUAAUUAAUAUUACUUGUCUCACUUGGGUGAGCUUCCUCUUACUAACUAUAAAUGGUCGAUUGUGUGAAUAUUUUUUGGCAUUAAUCCUGCAAUGGUCUUUCAGAUGUGACAGCUUAAUUUUCCUUUAUUUUUUUGUUAAUAUGAAUGAAUUUAUUGAGCAUUAAGUCUUUCUAGAAUCAUAGUCAUCAUAACACCAGAAUAUGUCUGUUCUGUUCACUGCAGAACUGCUUGACUGG
rnacentral:misc_RNA from 1 species